rnacentral:rRNA from 1 species
CAUAGCGACUAUCGUGGCAUAUCAAUAAGCGGAGGAAAAGAAACUAACUAGGAUUCCCUCAGUAACGGCGAGUGAAGCGGGAAGAGCUCAAAUUUGAAAUCUUCAAGGUUUUACCUUGACGAAUUGUAGUUUAAAGAAGUGUUUUCUGUUAGAGAGUAGGUAAAAGUUCUUUGGAAUAGGACAUCAUAGAGGGUGAGAAUCCCGUAUUUGACUAUUCUUUCUAGCUUUGUGAUACACUUUCAAAGAGUCGGAUUGUUUGGGAAUGCAGUCCAAAAUGGGUGGUAAAUUUCAUCUAAAGCUAAAUAUUGGCGAGAGACCGAUAGCGAACAAGUACCGUGAGGGAAAGAUGAAAAGAACUUUGAAAAGAGAGUUAAACAGUACGUGAAAUUGUCAAAAGGGAAGCGUUUGACACCAGUGUUGUUUAGUUGAAAAUCAAUUCAAUAGUUUUUGAUUUUGAGUAGUAUUGACUUCAUCAGCUUGCUGCUCUCUUUUCGGAAAUUAUUGAAUGCACUUUUCAGUUAACAAGUCAACAUCAAUUUCUUUUGUUGUAAAAGGGUAAGAGGAAGGUGGCUUACGUUUCGGCGUAAGUGUUUAUAGCCUUUUACCUCUGCAAUCGGAGAGAUUGAGGACAGCAGCGUAGAUCCUUCGGGGUUAGAUACACUUGUGCUAAGCUAUAGCCUUGUAUAGACAACUUGUUGACUAUGCUCAGUCAUGUAGCUUACUCGCUUGUGCUAUUUUACCUACGCUUAGGAUGUUGAUAGUCACAGCGUGUAC